rnacentral:lncRNA from 1 species
UAAAACCCUAAAUACAUGUAUAUAACCUUCUUUGGCCAAUGAGAAAGGAAGAGUUGGCGGGGCCUCAUUUCUUUUUUGUUUAUUUCUGUGUCAUGAAAAAAACCAAAAAGGGAAUAAAACAACAUAAACUCAUAAGUUUUUCAGUUUCUCUUUCGCCAAACCGUGACCAACGUAAAACAAGCUUCAAAGUCCACCGUCAAACAACAGUGUUGCAUCACCU